CGCAUCUGUGCAUGCAGCAUAUCAAUAAGCGGAGGAAAAGAAACUAACAAGGAUUCCCCUAGUAACGGCGAGUGAAGCGGGAAGAGCUCAAAUUUGAAAUCUUAAAGGGUUUCCCUUUACGAAUUGUAGUUUAAAGAAGUGUUUUCUGUUGAGGUUUUGGUAAAAGUUCUUUGGAAUAGGACAUCAUAGAGGGUGAGAAUCCCGUAUUUGACCUUUACUUUCAACUUUGUGAUACACUUUCAAAGAGUCGGAUUGUUUGGGAAUGCAGUCCAAAAUGGGUGGUAAAUUUCAUCUAAAGCUAAAUAUUGGCGAGAGACCGAUAGCGAACAAGUACCGUGAGGGAAAGAUGAAAAGAACUUUGAAAAGAGAGUUAAACAGUACGUGAAAUUGUCAAAAGGGAAGCGUUUGACACCAGUGUUGUUUUUCUGAAAAUCAAUUAAAGAACUGUUUAUGCUAAGCUGUUUAGACUUUAUCAGCUAACUGUUUAGUUUUGAGCUUUUCUUUAAUGCACUUUUCAGUUAACAAGUCAACAUCAAUUUCUUUUGCUGUAAAAAAGCUUGAGGAAGGUGGCUUGAGAUUCGUCUUAAGUGUUUAUAGCCUCUUGCCUAUGCAGUCGGAGAGAUUGAGGUCUGCAGCGUAGAUCCUUCGGGGCUAAAUGCAUUUGUGCUAAGUUAUAGCAUUUUAUAGACAACUUGUUGACUAUGAUUUGUCUUGUAGCUUACUCGCUUAUGUUAUUUUACCUACGCUUAGGAUGUUGAGCGCAUGUCUCUCUC
rnacentral:rRNA from 1 species